UGGCUCAGAACGAACGCUGGCGGCAGGCUUAACACAUGCAAGUCGAGCGCCCCGCAAGGGGAGCGGCAGACGGGUGAGUAACGCGUGGGAAUCUACCCUUUUCUACGGAAUAACGCAGGGAAACUUGUGCUAAUACCGUAUGAGCCCUUCGGGGGAAAGAUUUAUCGGGAAAGGAUGAGCCCGCGUUGGAUUAGCUAGUUGGUGGGGUAAAGGCCUACCAAGGCGACGAUCCAUAGCUGGUCUGAGAGGAUGAUCAGCCACAUUGGGACUGAGACACGGCCCAAACUCCUACGGGAGGCAGCAGUGGGGAAUAUUGGACAAUGGGCGCAAGCCUGAUCCAGCCAUGCCGCGUGAGUGAUGAAGGCCCUAGGGUUGUAAAGCUCUUUCACCGGUGAAGAUAAUGAC
rnacentral:rRNA from 1 species